AUUGAACGCUGCGGCAGGCUUAACACAUGCAAGUCGAGCGCUAGGCGGACGGGGGCGGAAUGGUUAGGGAUCUGCAUAUUAGUGGGGGACAAGAUCUCGAAAGGGAUGCUAAUACCACAUACUAUUAGCUGAGGAUAAGUCGGUUUAGUAAGUGGGUGGGGGAAAGGCCUACCAAGGCGACGAUCUGUAGCGGGUCUGAGAGGAAGAUCCGCCACACUGGGACUGAGACACGGCCCAGACUCCUACGGGAGGCAGCAGUGGGGAAUAUUGGGCAAUGGGGGGAACCCUGACCCAGCAAUGCCGCGUGUGUGAAGAAGGCCUUAGGGUUGUAAAGCACUUUAAUCGAGGAGGCGUUACUCGCAGAAUAAGCACCGGCUAACUCGGUGCCAGCAGCCGCGGUAAUUC
rnacentral:rRNA from 1 species